GAAAUGGGGAAUGUGCCAAAGAGACAACAACCCGACCAUAGAAAAAAACAACAGCAGAAGGUCACCAACAGGUCUUCAAUGUAGCGAGAAAUUCCCGCACCCGGAGGCGUCCCUCAACUGGCCCCUAAACAAAUAUAUACUAGUUCAGUGAUAAUGAACGCCAUACUAAUUUCCAAAUUGUACACAAGAAACUAAAAUUAAAAUAAUACAAGACUAACAAAGGACAGAGGCUUCUAACUUGGGACAGGCGCAAAAAUGCGGCGGGGUUAAACAUGUUUGUGAGAUCUCAACCCUCCCCCGAUACCUCUAGCCAAUGUAGAAAAGUAAACGCAUAACAAUACGCACAUUAAAAUUCAGUUCAAGAGAAGUCCGAGUCUGAUGUCAGAAGAUGUAACCAAAGAAAAUAAACAAAAUGACAAUAAUAGAUAAAUAACAACAGACUACUAGCAGUUAACUGACAUGCCAGCUCCAGACUUCAAUUAAACUGACUGAAAGAUUAUGAUUUCAUCAUAUGAACAUCAGGCAC
rnacentral:lncRNA from 1 species